rnacentral:misc_RNA from 1 species
GAAAUGCGAUAAGUAAUGUGAAUUGCAGAAUUCAGUGAAUCAUCGAAUCUUUGAACGCACAUUGCACCCGCCAGUAUUCUGGCGGGCAUGCCUGUUCGAGCGUCAUUACAACCCUCAGGCCCCCGGGCCUGGCGUUGGGGAUCGGCGGAAGCCCCCUGCGGGCACAACGCCGUCCCCCAAAUACAGUGGCGAUCCCGCCGCAGCUUCCAUUGCGUAGUAGCUAACACCUCGCAACUGGAGAGCGGCGCGGCCACGCCGUAAAACACCCAACUUCUGAAUGUUGACCUCGAAUCAGGUAGGAAUACCCGCUGAACUUAAGC